rnacentral:ncRNA from 1 species
UUACGAUAAAGGCAAACCCGGAGUGAUCCGGUAACGCAAAUUAACAGAGUCUUUUGUAGAGACGUAUUGCAAUACGCCUCUGCUGUCGAAAAAAAGAAAGCCUUACUGCCGAA